rnacentral:rRNA from 1 species
CGAAAGACGGGACUAAUAUCAGAUAAUGCAGCGGCUCCGCAUGGAGACAGUUGUUAAAGUACAAGCGCCUGAAGAUGAGCCUGCGGUCCAUUAGCUAGUUGGUAGAGUAACAGCCUACCAAGGCAACGAUGGGUAGCUGGUCUGAGAGGAUGAUCAGCCACACUGGAACUGAGACACGGUCCAGACUCCUACGGGAGGCAGUAGUAAGGAAUAUUGCUCAAUGGCCGAAAGGCUGAAGCAGCAACGCCGCGUGAAGGAUGAAUGGCCUUUGGCCUGUAAACUUCUGUAAAAAGGGAAAAACAAUCAGGCAUGUCCUGAUUUGAUUGUACCUUUGAAGUAAGCCCCGGCUAACUACGUG